rnacentral:misc_RNA from 1 species
GAUGAAGAACGCAGCGAAAUGCGAUAAGUAAUGUGAAUUGCAGAAUUCAGUGAAUCAUCGAAUCUUUGAACGCACCUUGCGCUCCUUGGUAUUCCGAGGAGCAUGCCUGUUUGAGUGUCAUUAAUAUAUCAACCUUCUCUUUUUUGAGUUGUUUGGAUGUGGGGGUUUGCUGGCCUCUUAAAUGAUUCAGCUCCCCUGAAAUGCAUUAGCAGAACAACCUGUUCAUUGGCGUGAUAAUUAUCUAUGCUAUAGAAUGUGAGGGCAGUUCAGCUUUCUAACCGUCCUUGGACAAUUCAUCAUUAAUGUGACCUCAAAUCAGGUAGGACUACCCGCUGAACUUAAGCAUAUCAAUAAGCGGAGGA